rnacentral:misc_RNA from 1 species
GAGGCCUUUCGAGGCCUUGCUUUUUUUUUUUUUU